UAGGGAAUUUUCGGCAAUGGGGGAAACCCUGACCGAGCAACGCCGCGUGAGUGAAGAAGGUCUUCGGAUUGUAAAGCUCUGUUGUAAGGGAAGAAAUGUACUGUGAGAAACAGUACUUGACGGUACCUUACCAGAAAGCUACGGCUAACUACGUGCCAGCAGCCGCGGUAAUACGUAGGUAGCGAGCGUUAUCCGGAAUUAUUGGGCGUAAAGGGUGCGUAGGCGGCCAUUUAAGUUCAUGGUGAAAGCGUGGGGCUCAACCCCAUAAAGCCAUGGAUACUGGAUGGCUGGAGUACUGGAGAGGGUAGUGGAAUUCCAUGUGUAGCGGUAAAAUGCGUAGAUAUAUGGAGGAACACCGGUGGCGAAGGCGGCUACCUGGACAGAGACUGACGCUGAGGCACGAAAGCGUGGGGAGCAAAUAGGA
rnacentral:rRNA from 1 species